AUGUAUAUGUUUACAGUGGGUUUUUUUUGCAUUACAAGUAGGACAUCACUUACGCUGAAGUUGCUUGUUUUACUUUUCAGACCAACAAAACUCCCACAGAUGAAAGCUUGUCUCACGAAAUACAAACAAGUUUAUAUGCUCACAGCGAACACAUGUCUUCAUUUGGCGGCCCGGCUACCCCAACAAGAUCAUGCAGCUUGUGGAAACUCGGAGAGUAACCAGUUUUGUAGCACUGCAUAUGGAAAACCAGGCAUGCAAAACUGGAUGCUGGGCUGAAAAUGUGGCGUGUCGGGGAUAAUGAACGAGACAGGAGGCAAUUAACAGUAGAAAAGUGACAAUCUGACAACAUGCUCAAUUAAUGUAAUCAGAUUUCACAUUCACUUCAUGGAUGUAGUAAAUCAAAGCAUAAGUAGGAAUGAUAUGAACUUUUUAAUAUUAAAAACUAUUCCCAUAACAUGCAAAGUCAGGGAAUACCGGUAAAUUUGUCUGUUGCCAAUCAUUAACUGAUUUAGGAUAGACCUUGUUGAGUAAUUAUAUUUAAUAAGAGCUUGUCCAUACAAGCUGCUAUCAGAUGUCAUUUUAUACAGUUUCAAACCAGAUAUAAUGGCUGAGCUGCGCACAUUAACUCUCUGUAAUACUGUACUGUCUUUUUGUGGGAGAGGGGUGGGAAAAUUCAAAACUGAUUAUUGUGUGGCUUCCUUUCAGACAGUUGUAUUUGAUCUAAUUUGAUUUAUUGCUGCACAUUUUGAAUGAGCAGAAAUGUCUUGAGGGGAAACGAGACUUGUUACAGUAAUGUUCGCAUUAAUAUAAUUUCACCUGCUUGCUUGGUGGGCUCCGCAGUUGUCUGUGUUCAUUACUGUUUGGGAGUCUUCUGUGUUAAAAAGCUCCUCUUUAUCUAUUUGCUCUCUCAUAGGGAUGUAAUGAGAUUCCCACACCCUCCACAAGUGGUGAUUGUGUAACUAAUCCAUGCUGGCAUAACAAAGUCUUCACCUAGAUUACUAAUAUUGCUAAACAUAUAUGCAGGACAAAGGCAGAUGUCUAUAUUUUUUUUUUUGAGCAAAGCACAGCUGUAACUCACAGGCAAUUUUUCUAGGUGGUCCUAGAAGACAGACGUGUUGAACCUCAAGGAGGGAGUUUGGAGGUUAGAAGCUCCACUUAAUUUUUAGAGGAGCGUGUAAACAUUUGGGUGCUAAUAUUACUUGCAGGCACAAAACCACAAAUAAUUCUGAUUGCUCAAGGGCUUCUGAGUCCCCAGUGUAACGCAGCCUGCUCUUUA
rnacentral:lncRNA from 1 species